GAUGAACGCUCGCUACAGGCUUAACACAUGCAAGUCGAGGGGCAGCAUGGUCUUAGCUUGCUAAGGCCGAUGGCGACCGGCGCACGGGUGAGUAACACGUAUCCAACCUGCCGUCUACUCUUGGACAGCCUUCUGAAAGGAAGAUUAAUACAAGAUGGCAUCAUGAGUCCGCAUGUUCACAUGAUUAAAGGUAUUCCGGUAGACGAUGGGGAUGCGUUCCAUUAGAUAGUAGGCGGGGUAACGGCCCACCUAGUCUUCGAUGGAUAGGGGUUCUGAGAGGAAGGUCCCCCACAUUGGAACUGAGACACGGUCCAAACUCCUACGGGAGGCAGCAGUGAGGAAUAUUGGUCAAUGGGCGAGAGCCUGAACCAGCCAAGUAGCGUGAAGGACGACUGCCCUAUGGGUUGUAAACUUCUUUUAUAAAGGAAUAAAGUCGGGUAUGGAUACCCGUUUGCAUGUACUUUAUGAAUAAGGAUCGGCUAACUCCGUG
rnacentral:rRNA from 1 species